rnacentral:sRNA from 1 species
GAGGCAAAGGACUUUGCCCUGAGCCCGUGGAAUCCAAGGACGGUCUCCUCUCUCUACCUGCCUGCCAGCGCUGGGGCUCCUGGGCCCCCAGAUCUGAUUACCUUCACGGAAGGAAGCGGACGCUCACCACGCUAUGCCCUCUGGUUCUGUGUGGGGGAAUCAUGGCCCCAGGACCAGCCGUGGACCAAGAGGCUCGUGAUGGUCAAGGUUGUGCCCACGUGCCUCAGGGCCUUGGUAGAAAUGGCCCGGGUAGGGGGUGCCUCCUCCCUGGAGAACACUGUGGACCUGCACAUUUCCAACAGCCACCCACUCUCCCUCACCUCCGACCAGUACAAGGCCUACCUGCAGGACUUGGUGGAGAGCAUGGAUUUCCAGGGCCCUGGGGAGACCUGAGCCCUCGUUUCUCAUGGUGUGCCUCCAACCCCCCUGUUCCCCACCACCUCAACCAAUAAACUGGUUCCUGCUAUGAUCA